rnacentral:rRNA from 1 species
AGAGUUUGAUCAUGGCUCAGGAUGAACGCUGGCGGCGCACUUAAGACAUGCAAGUCGAACGGAAAUUCAAUGUACAGAAGUAAGCUUGAACAAGUAGCUUGCUACAAGGGAAAGACUAUGGAAGUUUUUUGAAUUUUAGUGGCGGACGGGUGAGUAAUACGUAGGCAACCUGCCUAGAAGAGGGGGAUAACACUUAGAAAUAGGUGCUAAUACCGCAUAAGACCACAGUAUCGCAUGGUACAGGGGUCAAAGGAGAAAUCCGCUUUUAGAUGGGCCUGCGGCUGAUUAGCUUGUUGGCGGGGUAACGGCCCACCAAGGCAACGAUCGGUAGGGGUUCUGAGAGGAAGGUCCCCCACAUUGGAACUGAGACACGGUCCAAACUCCUACGGGAGGCAGCAGUGAGGAAUAUUGGUCAAUGGGCGGAAGCCUGAACCAGCCAAGUAGCGUGCAGGAUGACGGCCCUACGGGUUGUAAACUGCUUUUUUGCGGGAAUAAAGCGGCUCACGCGUGGGCCUUUGCAUGUACCGCACGAAUAAGGACCGGCUAAUUCCGUGCCAGCAGCCGCGGUAAUACGGAAGGUCCGGGCGUUAUCCGGAUUUAUUGGGUUUAAAGGGAGCGUAGGCCGCCUUUUAAGCGUGCUGUGAAAUACCGUUGCCCAACAACGGGGCUGCAGCGCGAACUGGAGGGCUUGAGUUCACGGGAAGCCGGCGGAAUUCGUCGUGUAGCGGUGAAAUGCUUAGAUAUGACGAAGAACUCCGAUUGCGAAGGCAGCCGGCUGUAGUGUUACUGACGCUGAAGCUCGAAAGUGCGGGUAUCGAACAGGAUUAGAUACCCUGGUAGUCCGCACGGUAAACGAUGGACGCCCGCUGUGCGCCCUUUAGGGUGCGCGGCCUAGCGAAAGCGUUAAGCGUCCCACCUGGGGAGUACGCCGGCAACGGUGAAACUCAAAGGAAUUGACGGGGGCCCGCACAAGCGGAGGAACAUGUGGUUUAAUUCGAUGAUACGCGAGGAACCUUACCCGGGCUUGAACUGCAGAGGAAAGAUCCAGAGAUGGUGAUGCCCUUCGGGGCCUCUGCGGAGGUGCUGCAUGGUUGUCGUCAGCUCGUGCCGUGAGGUGUCGGCUUAAGUGCCAUAACGAGCGCAACCCCUUUCCCCAGUUGCCAUCGGGUAAUGCCGGGCACUCCGGGGACACUGCCACCGCAAGGUGCGAGGAAGGUGGGGAUGACGUCAAAUCAGCACGGCCCUUACGUCCGGGGCUACACACGUGUUACAAUGGGGCAUACAGCGGGCCGGGAGCGCGCAAGCGCUCUCCAAUCAUGAAAGUGCCCCCUAGUUCGGACUGGGGUCUGCAACCCGACCCCACGAAGCUGGAUUCGCUAGUAAUCGCGCAUCAGCCAUGGCGCGGUGAAUACGUUCCCGGGCCUUGUACUCACCGCCCGU